GUACAGCCGCCAUCUAGCGAGACGAAGCUUACAACUACACAAUCAUAAAUGCAAUGUAAAGUGACAUAGGCCGAG